rnacentral:tRNA from 1 species
GGGAAUGUAGCUUAGUGGUAGAGUGCUUGCCUUGUAUGCAUGAAGCCCUGGGUUUGAUUCCCCAAUACUA